AUGCAUGUGUACACACCCCACUCUCACUGUUAAUCCUUCUCACUGCCUUUUUACUUUCUGUCUGUCCAUCAACAUCAUCAUAAUAUAUUUUCACUCUGUGUGUGGGUUUCCCUCAUUUUUGUAUCUGUCGUUGCUCUCUCUCUCUGUUGCAUGAGAAAAAUUAUGAUGCACUGCAUUCCUUUAUAUUCCAUCUGGCAUUCUCUCAAUCUGUAUUUAUUUAUCACUAACUACUGCUUUCUGUAUUUGUUUCCAAAUAAAUAUAAAGCAAAUUCUAAUGCAUAAUAUGGGAGUAUAUAAAUGUCUUUCAACUAAUUGUUUUGGUUAACAGCCCACAACCUUACUGUUCUGCCUCUCACCAUUCUCAUCAACCUCGUUUCCAGCAGCAGCUUUUUUGUAGUAAAAAAAACAAUGUCAGCGUGUUUUUUAAAUGGAAGUAAAAAGGUCUUUGGAUAAAUAUCAGAAAUGCUCCUUUUUGUCUCAGCUGGCUGGAGGGGCGUGUCUGUGUUUGAUUGACAGCAGCUGGUAGGCUGCCAGAGUGCCGUUGUUAACACCUUAGGGAAGAGUAAACAAACUAGUUUAUGACAUGGGCAGACGGCAUGUUGUUAGUGGUAUAGAAGAGUAAGGACCACACCAGCGUCUCACCGGAAUGAAGUGACAUUUGCAGAAGUCCGGCCUGCCAGUCUGCUUGCUCACCCGCUACCUCCGCCGGCCACACCGCCUUGCCGUUCUCCAUUCCUCCUCUCUGCCAUAACCAGCUAUCCUGUCUUCUCAACCGCACUAUUGUAAUUAUUCAAUAAAUCUGUCAAACAUCUGCCUCCUAGUCUGUGUUCUGUGUUUGGGUCCACUUUUGAACAUAACCUAACAAAAUGAUGUGCUACAUUUCAGGGUAUUUAGCAUUUGGCUGUCACUAUUUGGUUCACAGAGGGACACACUGUCCUUAUUAGAAACGGUGAUCAGUUUGCCACUUUAUUUUAUUUAUUUUGUUGUUUAUUUUUUUGUCAGUCAGGUUAUUGUUGUGUGGUACCAACUGUAGCAUACAAGCAAGGGCUGUUUCUAAAAACUCUUCUUGGUGUUGUAUUCAAGAAUACAACAACAAGAAUUAAUAGUCAGAUGCCAAAGUACUACUUUGACAAGCUAUGUUGUCGGGACUAAGCAUAUAUGGAUGUAGAAUUGCACAAGUAAAUUUGCACAUUUCUUAUAUUAAAAUGCAGCUGAAAUCUCUGAUACUAGGUAUUCACAAAAUAAAGGUGUGCAUUUUUUUCACUGUGAUGGAUGGAUUACCGACCACUAGCACAUCUGAAGCCUCUGCAAGCGUCACUAAAAAUAGUGGAAGGCAAUGGCUGCUUGGAAUGUAGGACAUAAAAAAAAAAAGUUUCACGUGCUUUAAAAAAUGGUUGGUAUUUAUACAAAUCAUUUUAGUUAAAGAGCUGAAUUAUGCUAAAAAAAAUGUUACUAUGGUCCUUUAAAUAAUUUUGAUGCCAUGACCAGAGGUAGCCUAGCUGUCUGAUCUUUGGUGACAGAGCCUUUAUCCCCUAUGGAUAAAGGCUCCAACCUUUAAACAACGUCAAAGGUUGUACUAUCCAGCUACUGUUUCUACUAAAGAGCAUAAGCCCACUGUCAAUGCCCGUGCUUUGUUCCACAAACUGACUGAACAGCAAAUACUUAUGUUUCUGUUACUUCUGCAUCUCAAACAUGCUGUCAUAUCUAUCUAUCUAUCUAUCUAUCUAUCUAUCUACACAUGAAGGAAAUGGCUCGAUGGAUUAACAGUGCAUAAACAGCAAAUUACUUGGAUUUGUGGAGUCCAAGUAAUUUGGAUUUGUGGAGAUAUAAAUAACUUGUGGAGAUGUAAAUGUUACAUCAUAUCAUUUGUAAAAUUACAAAUCAAUAACUAUUUUGUCUUUGCUUAAAGGUUAGGCCAUCACUAUCACUGAAAAAUAAUAAUAAUAAUUUUAUCUCUCCCUGUAUUGUCAUCUGCCACAUGUAGGAAUGUGUAAAUGGUGUCCUUUCUUCACUAAAGAAAUAAAAUAAAUAAGGGUAUCUUCACUCAGCACUCUUCUCAUUAUAAAACAUUUGUUCUGCUCAAAAACCCCUGUUUUUAAUGCUGGUGUUUACUAGGAAGUGGUGCAUUUAUUUCAGUUUAAUCCCUCUCUCUGGCCGACCAGGGCGGUCAGAUGACAGGCGCUAAUCUCUGGAUGCCUGCUUGCCUGACUGACUGCCUUCUUACUAAUAUGGGAUUAAAACCUAGCACGUCUCCAACAUGUAGCAGGCAGGCCCGUAGUUACCAUUGAGGACACCGAGGUCAUGUCCUUCUGUAUUUUUUCUGGGUCUUUUUAAAUUUUUUAAUGUAUAUCUUAAAAUCUUAAAUUAAAGUGACAAGUGCUAAAACUACUUAGUUGUGAACAAAGGUUGGCAUCAUCUCGCCAGCACAGCUUGUUACGUUGUAUGUGACAUACAUGUAAUGAGUUGCACGUGUACGUUACGGUCCUGUCAUUCAGUUUACUCUGUGGGCCAGGGGGCUGUAACCUACAUACACGCAACACUUACUACAAGAUCAGUCAACACUGUUUGAAUACAGGUUGCACCUUCAACGCACACACAACUGGCCUUAUGAAUAUUGUAUUGAUAAUUUAAGAACUGUUGUGAUUUUGGAGUUUAGUUGUUAUUUCCUGUUUUAUUUUGUAAGUGUUCUGCCUCAUGUGUCUUGUGUACACUUACUUCUUAUCUGUGUUUGCUUCUCUGAUUGUUUGCCCAGCCCUGAUUAGUUUCACCUGUGUCUCAUUUUCUCCUUUCACCUGAGUGUAUUUUAGUCUGUGUUCUUUGUCAUCUGUCUCCAAUGUUCUUGGACUUCCUACCUGCUACCUUACAGAUUUAUGUUUAGCUGUUUGGACUGCCUUUUGAAUUUGAUCUCUGCCUGCCUCAGUAAGUCUCCAGCGGCCUCUCCUCUCCUGUCCUGCCUGCUUCACCACACGAGUCAGCUUUCCUUCCAGUCCAGCCUACCACAACAGCUGCCUUGCCGGUUCUGCCAAUCACUACUACUACACAAGCCAAGACGGAACCUACUCCGCCCGUCUCUGUCCCCGGAGCCUCGCCGCUCUGGAAAAGCUCAGAUCCCCCAGUGAUUGCUUGCAGUAUAUAAUAAAAACUGAUGCUACCUCAUCCAAGUACCACCUCCUUGUGUUCUGCAUUUGGGUUUUUAAAUCGUGCACAUAACAGCUAAAGAUUUUGGAAUGACAAGAUUUCCUAAUUCCCUUUGCUCUCAUGCUGCACCUUCAUGUAUCAGAAUCUUUGAACAGGAAAUGAGGCACAGGUGUGUGUGUGUGUGUAUGUCCAGUGAUUUAUUACCAAAAUGUUUAAGUGAUACCUCUUAUCACUAUAAUUCAUUGAUGAAAUAAUAUAUCUAAUUUAAUUGCAAACAAUUACCUUUAUAGUAUUUUAAUGGGCAUAUUAUGUAUUGGUAUAUUUAAUUAAAAAAAUAUUUGGCCUAUGUAUCUUUACAACAAUUUAUACAACUUCCUUUUUCUUCAUCUGUGGAAUAUGUUAGUAGUAAUUUUUUUUUUUUUAUACAAAGAUGUUUGAAUCAAAUUGUAAUUUUCCAAGUCAAACAUUUUCCAGCACCUAUUUCUUUCCUUGUAUUGAACCAACACCAUUUUUGGUGGUUGUUGCAAUCACCAAAUUAAACAUUAUGUCCCUGACUGGCUACUCCACACCCAAGAGUUUUUAAAAAAAUAAAAAAAAAAAAAAUAAUACUGAAGCGUAACUAUUUUUUUUUCACUGGCAUGCCAUGUGUAACCUUUAGAUUAUGGCUUAUUGUUUGGAUGAACUUGAGUAAUGAGUGUUAAAACAAUUUCAGGCAAAACCUGAAAGAUACUGCAGUUGUGCUCCUCUGCUCAAUUUGUUUGACAGUGAUAUCAAUUCAGUAAGAAACUGAAGACUAAUUUCAAAAUUGGCUGUAUUUUUGAUUUAUCUUGCGUUGGAUUCUAGUCCAAUGUCCAUCUAUGUGUUGGCACUGACAUUAUUUCCUAAAUGAUUAUUACUCUUAAAAUACAUAACUUAUACUAUAAUCUUCACAAUUUUCUUUGAGGAGCAUGCCCCAAGCCCCCCUAGCAGGGCUAGGACUCAUGACCUUAGUAUUUCUAAAAUCCUGGCUAUGGCUCUCAACACAACAAGUAGAGUGAGGAUGAGCUGUGUCACCUCUUACCCCUUUCAUUCUCUCUUAGCCCUCUUUCUUUAUGUUUGUGUUUAUUCUCUAAUGUAAUAUUUCAAGCACUUGAUGUCAGAUUUUUAACUUGCAUUGAUAAACCUGAGUAGCCUUCCACAAUUACACUUUAUUUUGACCAUCAAGCAAGGUGCAACAAAUUCCUGUAAGAACACAUUUGCAGGUAUGACAUUUAUAUUAUGUUCAAGAAUAAAAUCUAUAUAUUUUUUAAUAUAUUAAAAUUUUUAAUUUA